rnacentral:lncRNA from 1 species
GCGCUGUCAUGUAGACCGCGUGCUGCACAAAAAACAACAGCAGUUGCUGUUUCGCCAUUGGCCGCUGCGUCGGCGCGUCUGUCGCGGCUGCUGCCCGUUGUUAUACGGUGGUGUACUGGUGGUGGAAUCAAAGCCCUCUGCAGGAUAACAUGUAAAGCCGGCAGGGAGAAUUGCACACAUCAGGGACAUUCUGCAGCUUUGCGAACAUGUGAUGACAAACAUGUGUUUCG